ensembl:snoRNA SNORD18 Small nucleolar RNA SNORD18
UCAAAAUGAUGAGAUUCCACUUCAUUGGUCCGUGUUUCUGAAACACAUGAUAUUUGUGGAGGUUCUGAUUUG